rnacentral:rRNA from 1 species
GGAUGGGCGCAGCCUGACCCAGCAACGCCGCGUGAAGGAAGAAGGCUUUCGGGUUGUAAACUUCUUUUAAGAGGGAAGAGCAGAAGACGGUACCUCUAGAAUAAGCCACGGCUAACUACGUGCCAGCAGCCGCGGUAAUACGUAGGUGGCAAGCGUUGUCCGGAUUUACUGGGUGUAAAGGGCGUGCAGCCGGGAGAACAAGUUGGAAGUGAAAUCCAUGGGCUCAACCCAUGAACUGCUUUCAAAACUGUUUUUCUUGAGUAGUGCAGAGGUAGGCGGAAUUCCCGGUGUAGCGGUGGAAUGCGUAGAUAUCGGGAGGAACACCAGUGGCGAAGGCGGCCUACUGGGCACCAACUGACGCUGAGGCUCGAAAGUGUGGGUAGCAAACAGGAUUAGAUACCCUGGUAGUCCAAGGGCGAAUUC